ensembl:lncRNA
AACAUUCCCUUAAGCCAAAAUCUAAUCCUAAGCAUGGCGCUUAUUUCUCUUCAAUUCCAUAAAGGUUGGGAGAAAUGAGGAUGCUGCUGAAGAAAAGUAUGAAGGUAGCGGAGGUUGGAUCAUGAGUUUUAAGCAAAGAAGCUGUCUCUAGAACAUAAAAGUAUAAGGUGAAGCAGCAAGCACUGAUGUAGAAGCUGCAGCAAGUUAUCCAGAAGCUCUAGCUUAGAUAUAAUGAAGGUGGCUACACUAAAAACCAGCUUUUCAAUGUAGACAAAACAGCCUUAUGUUGGAAGAUGCCAUCUAGGAUUUUCAUAGCUAGAGAGGAGAAGUCAAUGCCUGGCUUCAAAGCUUCAAAGGAUAGGCUGACUCUCUUGUUAGGGGCUAAUGCAUCUGGUGACUAAGUUGAAGGCAAUGCUCACUUUAUUACUUCAAAAAUCCCGUGGCCCUUAAGAAUUAGGCUAAAUCCACUCUGCUUGUGCUCUAUAAAUGGAACAACAAAGUGUGGACAAUAGCACGUCUAUCUACAACAUGGUUUGCUGAAUAUUUUAUGCCACUGCUGAAACUUGUUUCUUAAAAAAAAAAAAAGAUUCCUUGCCAAUAGUACUGCUCAUUGACAUCUGGUCAACCAAGAGCUCUGCUGGAGAUGUACUGUGCAAUGAGAUUCAUGUUGUUUUCGUACCUGAUAAUGCAACAUUUAUUCUUCAGCCUGUAGAUCAAAAAGUAAUUUUGAUUAUUUGCUUUUUAGGGCCACACCCGUGGCAUAUGGAGGUUCUCAGGCCAGGGGCUGAAUCAGAGCUGUAGCUGCCAGCCUACACCACAGCCUACACCACAAUGCAGGAUCCUUAACCUACCAAGUGAGGCCAGGGAUUGAACCCUCAUCCUCAUGGAUCCUAGUUGGAUUUGUUAACCCCUGAGCCAUGAAGGAAACUCUCAGAAAUACAUUUUUUAAGUCUGUAGCUGCCAUAGAAAAUUAUUCCUCUGAUGGAUCUGGGAAAAGUAAAUUAAAAACCUUCUGGAAAGUGUUCACUAUUCUAGAUACCAGUAAAGACAUUCAUGAUUCAUGGGGAGAGGUCAAAAUAUCAACAUCAACGGGAGUUUGGAAGAAGUUGAUUCCAAACUUCAUGGAUGUCUUAAGGGAUUCAAGACUUUAGUGGAAGAAGUAAGUGCAGAUGUGGUGGAAAUAAGAGAACUAGAAUGAGAAGUGGCGCCUGAAGAUGUAAUUGAAAUGCUAUGAUAUGCUUUCAGGAUAAAAAUUUUGUGGAGGAGGAGUUGCUUCUUAUGCAUGAGCAAAGAAAGGGGUUUCUUAAGAUGGAAUCUACUCCUGGUGAAGAUGCUGUGAAGAUUGUUGAAAUAACAAACAAAAAAAGAUUUAGAAUAUCACAUAAACUUAGCUUAUAAAGCUGUGACAGGGCUUGAGAGGACUGACUUCAGUUUUGAAAGACGUUCUACUAUGAGUAAAAUGCCAUUGAACAGCAUUGCAUGCUACAGAGAAAUCAUCAAUUGAUGAGUCAAAUUUCAUUAUUGUCUUAUUGUAACAAAUUGCCACAGCCACCCCAGCCUUCAGUAAACACCCUGAUCAGACAGCGGCCAUCAACAUCAAGGCAACACCCUCUACCAGCAUAAAUAUUAUGAUUGACUGAAGGCUCAGAUGAUGGCUAGCAAUUUUUAGCAAUAAAGUAUUCUUUAAUUAAGGUGUUUACUUUUUAAAGACACAAUGCUACUUCACACAAUAGGCUACAGUAUAGUGUAAACAUAACUUUUACAUGCACUGGGAAACCAAACAAUUCAUUUGACUUGAUUUAUUUGGCAUUUGCUUGGUUGAGGUGGUCUGAAACAAAACCCACAAUGUCUCCAUGUAUGUCCUUAGCUUUCUCCAUAGCACAUGAGGCAAGACAAAACUGUGGUCUUUUUACAACCUAAUCUUGGAAGUGAUAACCCACCAUUUGCGCCAUUUUCUUUUCACUUGAAGUAGGUCACUAGGUACAGCCCAUACUCAAGAGGAGGGGAUUACACUCCACCGCUUUAGGGGAGAAAUCGCAAAGAAUUUGUGGAUAUAUCUUCAAAACUGCUUCAGAUGUCUUGGUGAUUUCUACCAGAGCUGUGUGAGGAAAUUGGAUGAGAGAAACUUGACUGUGUGGGCAGCUGAGUGAGGUCAAGGCAAUCCCGCUCUUUCCAGAAACUUGAUUUUAAAGAAAAAGAGGGAGAACUUCAUUAUUAGAGGAGGAAGAUCUUUUUUUUUUUUUUUUUUUUUUUUUUUGUCUUUUUGCUAUUUCUUUGGGCCGCUCCAACGGCAUAUGGAGGUUCCCAGGCUAGGGGGCGAAUCGGAGCUGCAGCCGCCGGCCUACGCCAGAGCCACAGCAACACAGGAUCCGAGCCGCGUCUGCAACCUACGCCACAGCUCAGGGCAACUCCGGAUCGUUAACCCACUGAGCAAGGGCAGGGACUGAACCCGCAACCUCAUGGUUCCUAGUCGGAUUCGUUAACCACUGCGCCACGACGGGAACUCCGAGGAAGAUCUUUUUUUCAACUUCCUAUAAUAUCUAUUUGUUAGCAUGGUGUCUGUAUUUUUAUAUAUUUAUAGUGCCACCAAAUAUUAACCAUUUGAAUUCAAUAUGGGUUAAAUACACUUGGAAUUGGAAAUGCAUUUUCCUACAGAAAUGCCUUCCAUAGUCAAUGGGUGCAAACCUACAAAUAGCUAUUUAACCUAUGUCAUGUCUACAGUGCAGUAUGGUGCCAGUGCUGUUGUAGAAUCCAGCACCAUGUGAAUCUCACUGUUGUGUUGGAUUUGUCAUCAGGUAGGACCCACUUCCACCAUUUCCACAAGGACCCCCAAAAGGCACCACAAGGGGAAAAUUCAAACCUAAGCAGAACCCUUUAUAGGCUGACCCAUUCAUGGCUGAGACCUCAGAUACAAUAGUAUUUACAUACUCUUUCAGUGGGGAGUAAUAUGACUCUCCUCCAAUUUUUGGAUCCUGGACUUUUGCUGUUCAAUCUUACAACCUUAAUAGACUCCUUUUCUCUCAUUCUGCUUUCUAAUCAAGAAGUCAGGCUUAAUAGAGGAACUAUGCAAAAUGUAAAAUGCCAGAAAUAACUUGAAGGGCAUGGUAUAAAAACAUUAUGAUUUGCAUGAUUUGUAUAAAAUUUGCAUUUUAAAGAUACCAAGGUAUCUUUCAACUUUCCACUUGCUUAUGGUUUGCUAAGUAUUAUGUAUCUUUGAGUAAUGCAUUUUCCUACAGAAAUGCCUUCCACAGUCAAUGGGGCAAACCCACAAACAGCUAUUUAACCUCCCACCCCCCAACCUGUACUAACAAAUUGUUCACAAAACUGUCACAAGAUUUCCAGAUUAUCUCAACUCUACUCUUUGCCAUUUUUAACAUGUGCGUUUGCUAAGGUAUAUGGGAACACUCUUCAUUUGUAAUUCAAAAUAGGAUUUGACGGAGUCUUAUGCAGAUCCGUGCAAAAGAAAUUAUUUCUGAUAACUACACAACAGUGGAAGGAACUGUCUGGAAGGACUUUCUAGGGUCUCUAGGCUUUCCCCAGAAACCUGGUUCCUCUAGGUUGGCCCUUCUAGGGACUUUUGCCCAGGAAAAAGCCCGAGGCCUCUGGUCUCUGAUGUGGAGACUCCUGGUGAAUGCUCAAAGGUGAAAACUGUCUCUCAUCCUUGGAGGAGAUAUAGGGAGAUGGCAAGAGAUAAGAGGUUUCUAGGAAGAAAGAGUAAAAGGGGAACAGUGAGAAUGAAAGGACCUCUAUUUCAGAGGUGAAUGAGAAGAGCAUUUGCUUCCAACCUUGUGAAAAGUGAAGGAAAUGAAAGUAAGCUUGCUUUAGGGUCAGGACUAAAAACAACAGGGCAAAAGGAGACUCACUUCCAUAGCAGUGAGGGAAAACCAAGGGCUAACCCAUGGUACUGGUCCAGGAAUGCCCAGGACAAGGUCUACUGUAGGUGCCAGAGGAGACAGCUGUCCCCAUGGGAGGAAUAUAGAGGCUCCGGGAAAGCUUCCCUGACUGCCCCCCCCCCCAACCUCAGUUAUUCUUGGAGGGGUGAGUGGAGCCAAAACCAAGCUGCCCCAAGGGCGUUUCCGGCAAAAGGACGGAGGGAGUGUUUGCUAGGACCUUGCAAGGCCUCAGAUAUGCAAUCUUUCUCUAAUUCCUAAAAUUCCUUAUAUCCUGAAAGGCAACCCAUACAUAAAGAAAGGGCCAUCCUCAGUGAGAGACAAACAUCAUAUGCUAUCACUUAUAUGUGGGACCUAAAAAAAAGGAUAAAAAUGAACUUAUUUGUAGAACAGAAACAGACUCACAGACUUUGAAAAACUUAUGGUGGCCAAAAGGGACAGGUUUGGGGUGGGGGUGGGAUGGGGGUUUGGGAUGGGAAUGGUCUAAAAUUAGGUUGUGAUGAUGGUUGUACAACUAUAAAUAUAAUAAAAUUCAUUGAAUUAUUAAAACAAAAACAAGAAAGGGCCCAUCCUGUCUUCCAGGGAGCCUUUGUGUAAUGGUUACGCUGGAAAUUUCGUCAGAAAAGAUACAUUAUUUUUAAGCAAGCAGAUAUGUUGUGGAGUAGGAUACCAAAUUCACAUGAGUUUUAAAUAUUCAACAGAGAUUUAAAAAUAUAUUUCUUAAAAAACAUUUCAAUAAGUUUCUAGCCUCUGAGGGCAGCCCCAGUCUCUCUUGAAGUAGUAAGUCUUUUCUUCUUUGGGGGUUAUUUCAGCAGAGAAUUUUGAGAAACAAAAUUUAGCAGAACCAAGCUUUAGCAGAACCGAUUGAGUUUAUUAGGCAGUGAGAAUCACAGAGAAGGAGGUUCUCAAGCUCAGUUUGGAUGUCCAGAAAGGCUCUGGAUUUCUGAGGACAGCUGGCUGAGAUCACCGACUCUGGGAUUUAUUGCUGGUGAGGACCCAGAGCCCAGAAAAGUUACGUGAUUUGUCUGAGGUCACACAGCUUUUGGCGAAGAUAAAACUAGAACCAAGGUCUCUAAGUGCUCUAAUUGUGCUAAUAGUACAACUAUAAAUCAUUGUGGCUUAGUGGGUUAUAAACCCGACUAGUAUUCACGAAGGUGCAGGUUUGAUCCCUGGCCUCAUUCAAUGUUGCCAUGAGCUGCAGUGUAGGUUGCAGAUGCAGCUCAGAUCCUGCAUUGCAUUGGCUGUGGUGUAGGCUGGCAGCUGCAGCUCUGAUUCGACCCCUAGCCUGAGAACUUCCAUAUGCCUUGGGUGUGGCCCUAAAAACCAAAAAAAGAAAAAAAAAAAA